rnacentral:rRNA from 1 species
CGUAGGGUGCAAGCGUUAAUCGGAAUUACUGGGCGUAAAGCGUGCGCAGGCGGUGAUGUAAGACAGUUGUGAAAUCCCCGGGCUCAACCUGGGAACUGCAUCUGUGACUGCAUUGCUGGAGUGCGGCAGAGGGGGAUGGAAUUCCGCGUGUAGCAGUGAAAUGCGUAGAUAUACGGAGGAACACCGAUGGCGAAGGCAAUCCCCUGGGCCUGCACUGACGCUCAUGCACGAAAGCGUGGGGAGCAAACAGGAUUAGAUACCCUGGUAGUCCACGCCCUAAACGAUGUCAACUGGUUGUUGGGUCUUCACUGACUCAGUAACGAAGCUAACGCGUGAAGUUGACCGCCUGGGGAGUACGGCCACAAGGUUG